rnacentral:lncRNA from 1 species
GCUCAACAAUGAUAUUCACUGCUCAGUCUCAAACCAACUGAAGGACAUCUUCUCUGGAGUAUACUAUGGUAACUUCUUUUAUUCUGUAAUUCAAAUUCAGAUAUAAAUUAGUGGUUACAAUGCCUUUCCAGUGUUAUUAUUUUAAUUGAGAUGUUUGGGCAACUGAAUCAGAAACAUGCUAAACUGUUCAAUUGCAUGUUAUAUCUAGCCACACAAACUUACAGGUAUUAUUGUCACCAAAUUAAUACACAAAUUGAUAAUAAACUAUAUCUCUAUGGAAAUUUUAUGACCCAGAACAUAACAAUUCAAGGUAAAUACAUUUCUACUGUAAUGCCAAUAAUUGAACUUAUGCAGUAAUGCAAUGAAUGAGGGAGCAAAGAAAAAAAAACUAGUUUCAGUACAAUUUGGCAUUCACAGUAACCAAAAUAAAUUUUGAUUUUCAUCACAAUGAUGAGAUUAAUUAUUCUUUCAAUUAUUAAGACAAAAACCAUGAAGUUAUAAACAUUGAUCAUGAAUGCGGACAAUAGUUUUAUCAUUUAUUUUAUUAAUUUCUUUACGAAGUCAUGGAAAUGUUAUCCACCGAGUUAAAUGGUAAGCAACAAUGAGAAACUAUGAUAAAGAUUGUGAUCUUACAAACACAAUGAUCCUUUUUCUUUGCUGUUUAAACAAUACCUUCUUGCAUCCCUUAUAAGCUUUCAGCGACAAUUCAGUGAAUGACAAAAACUGCUUUUACAGGUGAUUCUCACCCUGAGCAUUAUCUGAACUAUGUGCCAAUUGGAGAAGCUGAUGCCACCACCAGUUUCACCAACUCCCUCCAAUCAAUACCAAAAACAACGGAUCAGCUCAAGUUUUUGGAAAACCAGAUCUGUCCAAUGCCUG